rnacentral:rRNA from 1 species
UGGGGAAUAUUGCACAAUGGGGGAAACCCUGAUGCAGCGACGCCGCGUGAGUGAAGAAGCGCCUCGGCGCGUAAAGCUCUGUCAGCAGGAACGAUAAUGACGGUACCUGAAGAAGAAGCCCCGGCUAACUACGUGCCAGCAGCCGCGGUAAUACGUAGGGGGCAAGCGUUAUCCGGAUUUACUGGGUGUAAAGGGAGCGUAGACGGCGGGGCAAGUCUGGAGUGAAAGGCCGGGGCCCAACCCCGGGACCGCUCUGGAAACUGCCCGGCUGGAGUGCGGGAGAGGUAAGCGGAAUUCCUAGUGUAGCGGUGAAAUGCGUAGAUAUUAGGAGGAACACCAGCGGCGAAGGCGGCUUACUGGACCGUGACUGACGUUGAGGCUCGAAAGCGUGGGGAGCAAACAGG